rnacentral:rRNA from 1 species
GACGAACGCUGGCGGCGUGCCUAAUACAUGCAAGUAGAACGCUGAAGAGAGGAGCUUGCUCUUCUUGGAUGAGUUGCGAACGGGUGAGUAACGCGUAGGUAACCUGCCUUGUAGCGGGGGAUAACUAUUGGAAACGAUAGCUAAUACCGCAUAACAAUGGAUGACACAUGUCAUUUAUUUGAAAGGGGCAAUUGCUCCACUACAAGAUGGACCUGCGUUGUAUUAGCUAGUAGGUGAGGUAAUGGCUCACCUAGGCGACGAUACAUAGCCGACCUGAGAGGGGGACAGCCCCACCGGGGAGUGAGACACGGCCCAGACUCCUAGGGGGGGCAGAAGAGGGGAAUUUUGGGAAAGGGGGGCAACCCUUCCCGGGAACCGCCGGGUGGGGUAAGAAGGUUUUGGGAUCUAAAAGCUCUGUUUUAAUUCAAGAACGGGUGUGAGGGGGGAAAGUUCACACUGGGACGGGAGUUUACCAGAAAGGGGCGGCUAACUACGU